AACGCGAAGAACCUUACCCAGGUUAGAAGUACAGAGGAAUGUUGCAGAGAUGUAACAGCCCGCAAGGGCCUCUGUAUAGGUGCUGCAUGGCUGUCGUCAGCUCGUGCCGUGAGGUGUUGGGUUAAGUCCCGCAACGAGCGCAACCCUUAUCAUUAGUUGCCAACGCGUAAUGGCGGGGACUCUAGUGAGACUGCCUAGGUUAACUAGGAGGAAGGUGAGGAUGACGUCAAGUCCGCAUGGCCUUUAUGUCUGGGGCUACACACGUGCUACAAUGGUCGGUACAGAAGGCAGCGAAACAGUGAUGUGGAGCAAAUCCCCAAAGCCGAUCUCAGUUCAGAUUGUAGUCUGCAACUCGACUACAUGAAGCUGGAAUUGCUAGUAAUGACGUGUCAGCAACAACGUCGUGAAUACGUUCCCGGGCCUUGUACACACCGGAGUA
rnacentral:rRNA from 1 species